rnacentral:tRNA from 2 species
GGCGUGAUGGCCGAGUGGUCUAAGGCGCUGUCUUCAGGCUUUGUAACAAGCAUGAUCGGCAGUCUAUUCAGGCGAGGGUUCGAAUCCCUCUCACGUCA